AGCAAGACGCUGUCUCAAAAAAAUAAAAGUAAAAUACAAUUUUGUGUGUGUGAUAACAAAGAUGAACACAUAAAUGCUGGUCUUCAAUUGAACAGAAUAGGUAACCCAGAAAUAAGGCUGCACACCUGCAACUGUCUGAUAUUUAACAAACCUGACAAAAAUAAGCAAUGGGGGAAGGAUUCCCUAUUUAAUAAAUAGUGCUGGGAUAACUGGCUAACCAUAUGCAGAAAACAGAAACUGGACCCCUUCCUUACACCAUAUGCAAAAAUUAAGAUGGAUUAAAGACUUAAAUGUAAAACUCCAAACUGUAAAGACUCUGGAAGACAACCUAAGCAGUCCUAUUCUGGACAUAGAAACAGGCAGAGAUUUCAUGAUAAAGACACCAAGAGCAAUUGCAACAAAAGCAAAAUUUAACAAACAGGAUCUAAUUAAAGAGCUUCUGCACAGCAAAGGAAACUAUCAACAGAGUGAACAGACAGCCUACAGAAUGGGAGAAAAUUUUUGCAAACUAUGCAUCCGACAAAGGUCUAAUACCCAGCAUCUAUAAGGAACUUAAAUUUACAAGAAAAAAAAAACAUUAAAGAGUGGGCAAAAGACAUGGACAGACACUUUUCAAAAGAAGACAUACAGCCAACAAUCAUGAAAAAAAAGCUCAACAUCACUGAUCAUUAGAGAGAGGCAGAUUGAAAUCACAGUGAGAUACCACAUCACACCAGUAAGAAUGGCUGCUGUUAGUCAAAAAAUAACAGAUGGCUGGCGAAGUUGUGGACAAAAAGGAAUGCUUAUACACUCUUGGUGGGAGUGUAAAAUAGUUCAAUCAUUGAGGAUGAUAGUGUGGCGAUUUCUCAAAUAACUAAAAACAGAAAUACAAUUUGACCCAGCAGUCCCAUUACUGGGUAUAUAUCCAGAGGAAUAUAGAUCGUUCUGUCAUAAAGACACAUGCACACGUGUUCAUUGCAGCACUGUUCACAAUAGCAAAAAUGUGGAAUCCACCUAAAUGGCCAUCAAUGGCAGACUGGAUAAAGAAAAUGUGGUGCAAAUACACGAUAAAUACUAUGCAGCCAUUAAAAAAAAAAAAAAACAGCAAAAUUGUGUCAUUUGCAGGAACAUGGAUGGAGCUGGAGGCCAGUAUCCUUAGCUAACACAGGGACAGGAAACCAAAUACCUCAUGUUCUCACUUAACAAGUGAGGGCUAAAUGAAAACACACGAAUGCAUAGGGGGAGCGACAUACACUGGGGCCUACCAGAGGGUGGAGAGUGGAAGGAGUGAGAGGAUCAGGAAAAAUAACCAGUGGGUACUAGGCUUAGUACCUGGGUGAUUUAAUAAUUUGUACAACCCCUGUGACACAAGCUUACCUAUGUAACAAACCUGCAAUGUACCCCUGAACUUAAAAUUUUUUAAAAUGCUGGUCUUGGCCUCCAAAACCAGCCUUAUAUGAAAAAUUCCACUUCAUGACAGUCUUUGAAAAAAGAAAAACGCAAAGGUAAUGAAAUUGUCAUCAUUGCUUAUAUAUGUCUGGCCUCUCCCAUGAGGUUGUAUGAACAUUGCAAAGGAAUGUAGUUAUAAGGCGUAUAGAAAACAGCAAAAUGACAGAAGUCUUAUCAGUAAUUACUUUAAAUGUAAUGGACUACAUAAUCCAGUCAAAAGACAGAGACUGGCAAAAUGGAUGUAGAUAAAAACCAUGAUCCAACUAAAUGCUCUCCACAGACGCUUGCUUUAGAUCCAAAGACACCUGCAACUAAAUGCUCUCCACAAGACACUUGAUUUAAAUCCAAAGACACAGAUAGGUUGAAAGUAAAAGGAUAGAAAUGGAUAUUCCACACAAAUAGUAACCUAAAGAGAAUAGAAGUGGCUACAUAAUAUCAGACAAAAUAGACUUUAAAAAGUUUGCAAGAGACAAGACAUUAUGUAUUAAAAUGUCCAAUACAGCAAGUAGAUAUAAUAAACAUGCAUCUAAUAACAAACUAUCAAAAUAUACAAAGCAAAAACUAAUAGAAUUGGAGAAAUAGCUCAACAAUGAUGGUUGGAGAUUUCAAUAUCCACUCUCAAUAAUAAAUAGAACAACCACACCGAAGAUAAGGAAAAUAGAGGACUUGAACCACAGAAUAAACCAAUUGAAUCAAACAGACAUAUACAGAACACUCUACCCAACAACAGAAUACCUAUUUUUUCUCCAGUGCAUAUGGAACAUUUUCCAGGACAGACCAUAUAUUAGGCCACAAGCUAAGUCUCAAAAGACUUUCCAUUUUUUUUUUUUUUUGGUCUCAUCUGACUCAUCUUCCAUCAAUAGACUUCAAAAGAUAGAUGUCAAAGUAUCUUGUCCAGCCACAAAGAUAGGAAGUUAGAUAUCAGUAACAAAAGAAAAAUGGAAAAAUUUACAAACUUGUGGAAAUUAACACACUCUUAACCAAUGGAACAAAGAUGAAAUUACAAAAGAAGUUGCAAAAUACUUAGAGACAAAUGAAAACAAAAACACAAAAUACCAAAACCUAUGGGACACAGUGAAAGCAGUGCUAAGGGGGAAAUUACUAUAAGUGUUUAUAUUAAAAAAUAAGAAAUCUCAAAUCAACAACCUAACUUUGCAAAGUAAGGAAUUAGAAAAAGAAGAACAAACUAAACCUAAAGCUAGUAGAAGGAAGGAAUCCAGAGACUAAAGCAGAGAUAAAUUAAAUUUAAAAAGAGAAAAAUAAUAGAGAAGAUUAACAAAACCAAAAGUUGGUUUUUCAACAAGAUUAACAAAAUCGACUUCAGCUAGAUUAAGAAAAAAAGGAAGAAGACUCAAAUUACUAAAAUGAGAAAUCAAAGUGGGAACAUUACUACAAAUUCUACAGAAAUAAAGGAUAAGAGUACUAUGAGCAAUUGUACACCAACAAAUUCGAUAACCUAGAUGAAAUGGAAAAAUUACUAGAAACAGAAAAUUCACCAAGAUUAAACCACAAAUAAAUAGAAAUUUUUAAUAGACCUAUACCUAGUAAGAAGAUUGAAUCAAUAAUCAAACUUUUGUUUUAAGAAAGAAAAGCCCUGGACCUGAUGGGAGACGGAUGGUGGUGAUAAUUGUACAAUAUGAAUAUACUUUAUGUCACUAAACUGUACACCUAAAAAUGAUGAAGAUUUUAAAUUUUAUGCUAUGUGUAUUUACGUUAUAUGUAUUCCCUACCAUAAAAAAGUAGAGAAAAAACAAUAUUAGGCUCUUCACAUAAAGAAAAAUCUAAAUGGCCUGCAAUCCUAGGUACUUGGGAGGCUAAGGCAGAACAAUCACUUGAACCCAGGAGGUGGAGGUUGCAGUGAGCUGAGAUUGUGCCAUUGCACUCCAGCCUGGGCAACAAGAGCAAAAUUCCGCCUCAAAAAACAAAAACAAAAACAAAAAAAACAACAUACACAGAAAGAAUUUAAAUGACAGUAAUGCAGGAAAUGAGAAAUCAAAAUGCUAUAAGGCAUAUAGAAAAUAAACAGCAAAAUGACAGCAGUUUUUUCUUAUUAGUAAUUACUUUAAAUGUAAAUGGACUAAAUAAUCCAAUCAAAAGAGACUGGCAAAAUGGAUGUAGAUAAAAACCAUGAUCCAACUAAAUGCUCUCCACAAGACACUUGCUUUAGACCCAAAGACACAAAUAGGUUGAAAGCGAAAGGAUAGAAAUGGAUAUUCCACGCAAAUAGUAACCUAAAGAGAAUAGAAAUGGCUACGUAAUAUCAGACAAAAUAGACUUUAAGUCAAAAAAGGUUGCAAGAGACAAAGAAGAUUUUAUAUAUUAAUAAAAUGUUCAAUACAGCAAGUAGAUAUAAUAAACAUUUAUGCAUCUAGUAAACUAUCAAAAUUUAUGAAGCAAAAACUAAUAGAAUUGAAUGGAGAAAUUGUUCUACAAUGAUAGUUGGAGACUUCAAUAUCCCACUCUCAACAUUAAAUAGAACAACCACACCGAAGAUAAGGAAAAUAGAACCACAGAAUAAACCAAUUGGAUCAAACAGACAUAUACAGAACACUCUACCCAACAAAGAAUUCCUCUACCAACAUGGCAAAAAUUUAAAAGUCUGAUAAUAACCAGGAUUGGUGAAAUUUGGGACCAACCAAAAUUCUCUUACAGAACUGGCGGUAGUGUAAAUUGUUACAACCAUUUUGGAACAUAUUUUGGCAUUACCUUGCAAAGCUGAAGAUUCAUGGAUCUCAUAACCCAGCAAUUCCACCCUUACGUAUGUGUACCCUGAAGAAUCUUACGUACAUAUUCAUAGAAGCAUCAUUUGUUAUAGUAAAAAACUGGGGAAAAGAAAUCCAUCUGAAAUAGAUUAACAAGCCUCCCCUAUAUAGUAACAAUAUGGAUGGAUCUCAAACAAUACUAUGUGAAAGAAGAAAGAAAGAAUACAAAUAGUACGAUUUUAGACAUAUGAAAUUUGAAAAUAGGCAAAAUUAAUUACAUAUUGAUAUUUUACAGAUGAUAACAUACAAAAUCAAAUACAUGAUUAUCAUGAAAAUCAUUUUAUUGUUUAUCUCUAGGGGCUGGGAGAGGAUUAUGAUAGGAAGAGACACACCAGGGUAAUCUUUUGGGCUGCUGGUUCUAUUCCUUGACCUUGGAUACAAUUGUAUAUUUAUGCAUAUCUUAAUAUAUAUCUAAAUUAUAUAUAUGAUGUGCUUUAUGUACCACAUAAUAUAUAUCACAAAAUUCUUAAAAGGGGGACUGUUUGCAAGCAUCUCUUAUCUUAAAUACUCUCCAUAAGGCAGUUACAUGUUAUGUUAGAAAACUAAAAUAAUCCUAGACCCUAGACCCUUAAAUAAAAUAAACUAUUUAAAUAUUUCUAGGAAGAAACAAUUAGGCUUUUUCCUCCCUCUUAAAAACGUAUGGAUGUGUCUGGGGCCCUGGAAGACUCUAAAUGUUCAUUUUGCCUUUUUUGUGAUUUUAAAAAUAUUCUCGAUUUUGCCCUUUUGAGAAAUAAUGAGCAAAAGGGGGAAUUUUUGAACACCACGUAAAUUUUAAAAGUGUACUUUAAACAGUAUACAUGACUACAAUUGGGAAUACUAUAUGCUGAGUAGUAAUCUGUGAUUUAAGAUCACAGUAAUGCAUUGGCCAUAGCUCUUACUUGCUUUAGAGCGUUGAUUGUGUGCAUCUUUUCCCAGGUUCAUACUGAGUAAUGUCGUAUCAUAUUGAUAUCUUGAAAUUGAAUAUGGUGGAAUAUUUACAGCAUGGAAAUUGGCAAAUGAUACAAGCUACAAAUGCACCCCCUUCCCUACCCCAGCCAUUUGUUAAACAUUUAUCAGCACACCACUGCUUAAGGACUAAGAGUUCUGAAUAGCCAUCACUGGAUCUUUACUCAUGAAGGAAAAUAAUCUGGUGAGGCUCUCCUGAACUAGCAAACACUUCGAAUAUGACGGACUACUGCGUCUGCCACAUCCUGCCAGACAGCUCUGACUGCAGUUGAUUGCCAUACUCCUUCACCUUAAUAAGAAAACUACUGAAAAGAGCAGAAAAUGGCCCAGCUCCUGCAUCUCUCAUGCAAAACAUCUGUCAGCACCUCUGGGUAUCUUUCCCACUCCUGCUCCUGUAAAUUUUGCUAGUCAUUCUAUAGAGUAGAUGAAUACCACCUGGCUGGUGGCAAGGACAAAUAGAAUGGUAUGGACUGAAGGCCCUCGGGCAGUCCCUCCAUAAAUAAAAACUAGGCUCAGUUAUUCAAACUGCA